rnacentral:rRNA from 1 species
GAUGAACGCUGGCGGCGUGCUUAACACAUGCAAGUCGAACGAAGCACUUUAUUUGAUUUCCUUCGGGACUGAUUAUUUUGUGACUGAGUGGCGGACGGGUGAGUAACGCGUGGGUAACCUGCCUUGUACAGGGGGAUAACAGUUGGAAACGGCUGCUAAUACCGCAUAAGCGCACGGCAUCGCAUGAUGCAGUGUGAAAAACUCCGGUGGUAUAAGAUGGACCCGCGUUGGAUUAGCUAGUUGGUGAGGUAACGGCCCACCAAGGCGACGAUCCAUAGCCGACCAGAGAGGGUGACCGGACACAUUGGGACUGAGACACAGCCCAAACUCCUACGGGAGGCAGCAGUGGGGAAUAUUGCAAAAUGGGCGAAAGCAUGAUGCAGCGACGCCGCGUGAGCGAAGAAGUAUUUCGGUAUGUAAAGCUCUAUCAGCAGGCAAGAUAAUGACGGUACCUGACUAAGAAGCACCGGCUAAAUACGUG